rnacentral:lncRNA from 1 species
ACACCCUAUGUCGGAUGAAUUCCAAACAUAUAACAAGAUAAAACAACAAUAGUCUAAAGACAAUAAAGUAAGCUCAAAACCAAAGUCAAAAACCACAAACAAUCAACCAUCCAUUUCCAAUCCCAAUACCAAUACCAAUGCUAAUCCUAAUAUCGACACCGCCCAUGACCAUAUUAGUUCGAUAAAGCCUCUAACCAAAAUAAAAGAAUAUUCGAUCGGGACAUGCCUCCGACCAUAGUAAAAACAAAACCAAAGAAAUAAUAAUAAUGAAAAGAAGUUCAUAUCAUGAAAUGGAGUGUUUCGAAGUAUGAAAGAUCACCGCUUCAGUCUGACUCAAAACUUUCCCCGAAUCCAAGUCAUUGAGCAGGAAGAAUGAUAGUAUGGUCGGUUCCUCCAUCGCGUGGGUAUACAGUGUCUGAAAAUGAUUAGCGGAGUGAACUCUAGCAUGUAACUCAGGGAUAAAGAUAAGAUAAUUCCAUCAUUUCAAAACUAGAUUAAUAACCAUAUGCAAUCACAUAUGUGUAUAUAUAUAUACAUAUGGGAUAUGGAACAAGGUUUAGCAUGUAUUUAAAUCCUUAACCUUGGUUGUGUAGUUUGACUGUCCUAAAACCACCCACGAGCUAUAUGGGUUCAUCUCUCCCUACUGAAAGGGCCCUAGUGCGUGUUAGAUGCACGACUGGAGAAAAAACCCUAAGAUGACUAGUACAUACAAAAAGUAUUAAGUGUUACAUUAUGCACACGGUCACCAAGACCACCCUCACAUCGGCAAAUGUGAGUUUCUAGUGUCGGUCCUCCAGGGACCCCCACCUUCUACGACUUUGCUACUCAUCCCCCUUUAAGACUAUAUUAAAUUACACAUUCCCAACCAUUUACCAAGAAUUUUUUUUAAUUAGGAAUUAACCAUUGGUAUCGUCAUACCAAAAUUAGAGCUUGCAAGUCUAUUACUUUAUGCCAUAUAAACCAUUAAACCAAAUAAGACUCCACCAUUUCCAAUUAACCAAAACCAUUUAAAAUCAAACCAUGACCACCAAGUCUUUUCCAAAAUAAUAUGAAACCAACCAAAACCAAUUCAUGUUUCUAUAACCAUUUAUGCAAUGCAAAGUUUCCAAGAAUAGUCAAACUUUUUGACAAAAUUAUUCUCAUUGACAAUUUCACAAAUAGGCUAAGGGCAUGCCAUUAUCAAAGCCAAAAUUAUCAAAUUUGGGGAUCAACCAUAACCCCUUAAUUAAAUCACCAUUCC